ensembl:lncRNA
CGAGACGACACACAAUCGGCUAAAUAAACGCUGGAGCGGACUCGGAAAGAAUCGGGAAAGACUGAAACUGGAUUUUGGAAAAGGUUUUAUUUCGGAAGGGGAAAUGUUUACAUUUAAAAUAAAAAAGACUUGAGUGUAUUUUGAUUAGGAUUCAUUGUGUUAUAUUUAUACUUGCGUUAUAUUUGUUGUACGGUAUUUGCCAUGUAAGUUUAACUGAAGUUUAACUGAAUAACAGAUGCAGAGAUAUGGGAGGUAAACGACAGCAAAACAUAAUGCAAGAGCACGGGCGAUAAACAGGCAGCGGUCAUGUGAUGAGCAAAGAACAUCAACUACUGUACAGAGGGCUAAGGCAAAAGACAGAGAGGGGGUAAAGACAGAUAGGGUUAGGGUAAAGACAGAUAGGGUAAAGACAGAUGGGGUUAGGGUAAAGACAGAUGGGGUUAGGGUAAAGACAGAUAGGGUUAGGGUAA